rnacentral:rRNA from 1 species
GACGAACGCUGGCGGCGUGCCUAAUACAUGCAAGUCGAACGAACUCUGGUAUUGAUUGGUGCUUGCAUCAUGAUUUACAUUUGAGUGAGUGGCGAACUGGUGAGUAACACGUGGGAAACCUGCCCAGAAGCGGGGGAUAACACCUGGAAACAGAUGCUAAUACCGCAUAACAACUUGGACCGCAUGGUCCGAGCUUGAAAGAUGGCUUCGGCUAUCACUUUUGGAUGGUCCCGCGGCGUAUUAGCUAGAUGGUGGGGUAACGGCUCACCAUGGCAAUGAUACGUAGCCGACCUGAGAGGGUAAUCGGCCACAUUGGGACUGAGACACGGCCCAAACUCCUACGGGAGGCAGCAGUAGGGAAUCUUCCACAAUGGACGAAAGUCUGAUGGAGCAACGCCGCGUGAGUGAAGAAGGGUUUCGGCUCGUAAAACUCUGUUGUUAAAGAAGAACAUAUCUGAGAGUAACUGUUCAGGUAUUGACGGUAUUUAACCAGAAAGCCACGGCUAACUACGUGCCAGCAGCCGCGGUAAUACGUAGGUGGCAAGCGUUGUCCGGAUUUAUUGGGCGUAAAGCGAGCGCAGGCGGUUUUUUAAGUCUGAUGUGAAAGCCUUCGGCUCAACCGAAGAAGUGCAUCGGAAACUGGGAAACUUGAGUGCAGAAGAGGACAGUGGAACUCCAUGUGUAGCGGUGAAAUGCGUAGAUAUAUGGAAGAACACCAGUGGCGAAGGCGGCUGUCUGGUCUGUAACUGACGCUGAGGCUCGAAAGUAUGGGUAGCAAACAGGAUUAGAUACCCUGGUAGUCCAUACCGUAAACGAUGAAUGCUAAGUGUUGGAGGGUUUCCGCCCUUCAGUGCUGCAGCUAACGCAUUAAGCAUUCCGCCUGGGGAGUACGGCCGCAAGGCUGAAACUCAAAGGAAUUGACGGGGGCCCGCACAAGCGGUGGAGCAUGUGGUUUAAUUCGAAGCUACGCGAAGAACCUUACCAGGUCUUGACAUACUAUGCAAAUCUAAGAGAUUAGACGUUCCCUUCGGGGACAUGGAUACAGGUGGUGCAUGGUUGUCGUCAGCUCGUGUCGUGAGAUGUUGGGUUAAGUCCCGCAACGAGCGCAACCCUUAUUAUCAGUUGCCAGCAUUAAGUUGGGCACUCUGGUGAGACUGCCGGUGACAAACCGGAGGAAGGUGGGGAUGACGUCAAAUCAUCAUGCCCCUUAUGACCUGGGCUACACACGUGCUACAAUGGAUGGUACAACGAGUUGCGAACUCGCGAGAGUAAGCUAAUCUCUUAAAGCCAUUCUCAGUUCGGAUUGUAGGCUGCAACUCGCCUACAUGAAGUCGGAACCGCUAGUAAUCGCGGAUCAGCAUGCCGCGGUGAAUACGUUCCCGGGCCUUGUACACACCGCCCGUCACACCAUGAGAGUUUGUAACACCCAAAGUCGGUGGGGUAACCUUUUAGGAACCAGCCGCCUAAGGUGGGACAGAUGAUUAGGGUG